rnacentral:rRNA from 1 species
GACGAACGCUGGCGGCGUGCUUAACACAUGCAAGUCGAACGAUGAAGGAGAGCUUGCUCUCCGGAUUAGUGGCGAACGGGUGAGUAACACGUGACUAACCUGCUCCUUUCACUGGGAUAACGCUCCGAAAGGAGUGCUAAUACCGGAUACGAACUCUGAACACAUGUUCGGAGUUGGAAAGUUUUUCGGAACGGGAUGGAGUCGCGGCCCAUCAGCUUGUUGGUGAGGUAACGGCUCACCAAGGCGACGACGGGUAGCCGGCCUGAGAGGGCGACCGGCCACACUGGGACUGAGACACGGCCCAGACUCCUACGGGAGGCAGCAGUGGGGAAUAUUGCACAAUGGGCGAAAGCCUGAUGCAGCGGCGCCACGUGAGGGAUGAAGGUCUUCGGAUUGUAAACCUCUUUCAGUAGGGACGAAGCGAAAGUGACGGUACCUAAAGAAGAAGCACCGGCUAACUACGUGCCAGCCGCCGCCGUAA